AUUGGAAUCUAUGUGGGCUAAUUUGAAACCUUUUUUUUAGAUUUUUUUUAAUGGUAAUGUAGAGAAAAAUGCUUUCAUUAGUUGCCUCGAACUUGAGCAAUUGUGUUGGAAUAAGGUUUUUGAAUUAAUCAUUUAUAUACACAUCAUAAAUAUGCGUCAAAAUAUAUAAUAGUUAGGGAUUAAAUGAAUGGGACUGCUUGCGAAAAAGCGUCUUGUUCUGGAAGCUUCACGAAUGCACCCAGAAGCCACUCCAACCUUGGAGAACUUUCUUCAGAGCGAACUACCGCAUACGUCACCAAGAGGAGGACGCUGAUUGGUCAGAAUGUACCAGAACCAACGGGAAGACCAAUGGUAAGCAUAAAAUCACCGGCAGCGGGGACAGUUGAAAUAGCAAGACGCGCUUUAGGAGCGAAGAGCCAGGUACUCCACGAUUACGAUACGAUUACUGUUCAUCGCUUACUAACACUAUCCUCAGCAAGAUGUCUGCUGCAAAGGGUGUAGCGGUCGGUAUUGACCUGGGGCCGGUUGCACCAACUGGGCGUAAGCCUGGUCGUAACUACGCCUGGUCGUAACUUGGCGUUCUAAAGGCCGAUUUAUGCUCAGUUACGUAAGCGUAAGCGCAAGCGCAAGAGGCCCUUGCGCGCCCUUGCGCACCCCUUGCGCGACUUCUCACGUCUUGCGUGCGUCGGGCGAUCUUUCUAGACUUGCGUCAUUUUUUACGUAAGCUUUUACGUGAGCCGCGCAGCCUGCAAGGCUGUGAUUGGUCUGCUCGUCUGGUUACUACUUCCUGUCUGGAGUAUCACAUUUCCUGUUUUCAUACCGCCACCUUCCACCCUAUCUGGCACAUAAUUAUGCGAACCCUUUAUGCGAACCCUUCCACAGGGGCAAAGUGCUAUUUUGAUGCGCGACAUCAAACAGCUGAUGCGGGAUUGUGAGCCAUUUUAAUGAUCUUGUCACCCGAUAUUCGUUCUAUUAGGCCUACUGGCCUUAUUUGUUUUAGUGUUAGCCUAUUUGAAUUAAUUACCUAAUGUUUUGUGUUCACGUUCUAUGUGAAACAUAAGUUCAGUAGCCUCUUUGAGUGAAUGAAAUUUGAAAGCGUGAGUACUGUGUAGUGAAUGAAAAAUGUGUGCGUGUAUGGUGGGACUAUUUUCUGUAUUUGAUAAAUAAACCCCUUUUCUCUAAUAAUGCUGCCUACCAUAUAAUUUAUGUGGACA
rnacentral:lncRNA from 1 species